CCUACGGGAGGCAGCAGUGAGGAAUAUUGGUCAAUGGACGAGAGUCUGAACCAGCCAAGCAGCGUGAAGGAAGACGGCCCUAUGGGUUGUAAACUGCUUUUGUAAAAGGGUAAACGCAGAUACGCGUAUCUGUCUGCAAGUAUCGUACGAAUAAGGAUCGGCUAACUCCGUGCCAGCAGCCGCGGUAAUACGGAGGAUUCGAGCGUUAUCCGGAUUUAUUGGGUUUAAAGGGUGCGUAGGCGGUCUGAUAAGUUAGAGGUGAAAGUCCGAGGCUCAACUUCGGAAUUGCCUCUGAUACUGGUCGUCUUGAGUGUAGUUGCGGUAGGCGGAAUGCAUGGUGUAGCGGUGAAAUGCUUAGAUAUCAUGCAGAACACCGAUUGCGAAGGCAGCUUACCAAGCUACGUCUGACGUUGAGGCACGAAAGCGUGGGGAUCAAACAGGAUUAGAUACCCGGGUAGUC
rnacentral:rRNA from 1 species